GGGGAUUUAGCUCAAAUGGUAGAGCGCUCGCUUCGCAUGUGAGAGGCACGGGGAUCGAUACCCCGAAUCUCCA